rnacentral:rRNA from 1 species
GAUCCUGGCUCAGGAUGAACGCUGGCGGCGUGCCUAACACAUGCAAGUCGAACGAAGCUCCUGCGACAGAAUCCUUCGGGAGGAAGAUGCUUGAGACUGAGUGGCGGACGGGUGAGUAACGCGUGGGUAACCUGCCCUAGAGUGGGGGACAACAGUUGGAAACGACUGCUAAUACCGCAUAAGCCCACGGUACCGCAUGGUACUGAGGGAAAAGGAUUUAUUCGCUUUAGGAUGGACUCGCGU